rnacentral:rRNA from 1 species
GACGAACGCUGGCGGCGUGCUUAACACAUGCAAGUCGAACGAGGUCCAUUGCGAGCUUGCUCAAGAGCAGACCUAGUGGCGAACGGGUGCGUAACACGUGAGAGACCUGCCCCAGACUUGGGAAUAACAGUCGGAAACGACUGCUAAUACCGAAUACCUUCGUAGCGUCGCAUGGCGCAUCGAAGAAAGCUUUUGCGGUUUGGGAGGGUCUCGCGGCCUAUCAGCUAGUUGGUGCGGUAACGGCUCACCAAGACAUCGACGGGUAGCUGGUCUGAGAGAAUGAUAAGCCACACUGGGACUGAGACACGGCCCAGACGCGUACGAGAGGCAGCAGAGGGGAAUAUUGCACGAAGGGCGAAAGCCUGAUGCAGCAACGCGGCGUGCGGGAAGAAGGCCAUAGGGUUGUAAACCGCUUUCAGCAGGGAAGAAACUGACGGUACCUGCAGAAGAAGGUGCGGCCAACUACGUGCCAGCAGCCGCCGUAA